UACAGGGGGUGCAAACGUUGCUCGGAAUCACUGGGCGUAAAGGGUGCGUAGGCGGGUCUUUAAGUCAGGGGUGAAAUCCUGGAGCUCAACUCCAGAACUGCCUUUGAUACUGGGAGCUCGAGUCCGGGAGAGGUGAGUGGAACUGCGAGUGUAGAGGUGAAAUUCGUAGAUAUUCGCAAGAACACCAGUGGCGAAGGCGGCUCACUGGCCCGGUACUGACGCUGAGGUGCGAAAGCGUGGGGAGCAAACAGGG
rnacentral:rRNA from 1 species